UACGAAGGGGGCUAGCGUUGCUCGGAAUUACUGGGCGUAAAGCGCACGUAGGCGGAUUGUUAAGUCGGGGGUGAAAUCCUGGAGCUCAACUCCAGAACUGCCUUCGAUACUGGCGAUCUCGAGUUCGGGAGAGGUGAGUGGAACUGCGAGUGUAGAGGUGAAAUUCGUAGAUAUUCGCAAGAACACCAGUGGCGAAGGCGGCUCACUGGCCCGAUACUGACGCUGAGGUGACGAAAGCGUGGGGAGCAAACAGG
rnacentral:rRNA from 1 species